CGAUAAAGGGAGUGAAAAACUCCCUCGCCGGAAGAUCAAGGGUUCCUGUCCAACGUUAAUCGGGGCAGGGUAAGUCGACCCCUAAGGCGAGGCCGAAAGGCGUAGUCGAUGGGAAACGGGUUAAUAUUCCCGUACUGCUUAUAACUGCGAUGGGGGGACGGAGAAGGCUAGGUGGGCCAGGCGACGGUUGUCCUGGUUCAAGGGUGUAGGCUGUAUUCUUAGGCAAAUCCGGGAAUACAUUAGGCUGAGACCCGAUGUCGAGCUGCUACGGCAGUGAAGUCAUUGAUGCCAUGCUUCCGGGAAAAGCCUCUAAGCUUCAGGUUAUAAGGAAUCGUACCCCAAACCGACACAGGUGAUCAGGUAGAGAAUACCAAGGCGCUUGAGAGAACUCGGGUGAAGGAACUAGGCAAAAUGGUACCGUAACUUCGGGAGAAGGUACGCUGCCGGCGGUGACGAGACUUGCU
rnacentral:rRNA from 1 species